AGCUGUUAAGAGAGGCCUUGGAGAGAGACCUUGAAAAAUUGGAGAGCUGGGCAAUCAUCAUCAACAUGAAGUUUAACAAGAGCAGGUGCCAGACUCUGCACCACGAGCAGGGCAGCCAUGGAUAUAGGUACAGACUGGAGGAUAUGAGGAGCAGCUGACUGGUUUGUACAGCCCAGAGAGAAGGAGGCUGGGGGAAGGCCUCAUGGCAGCUGCAGCUCCUCACAGGGAGCGAAGGGGCAGCGCUGAGCUUUGCUCUCUCUGACAGCGACAGGGCCCGAGGGAACUGCAUGGGGCUGUAUCAGGGGAGGGCUGGGUGUUAGGAAGAGGUUCUUCACCAGAAGGCAGUGGGCACGGUACAGGCUCCCCAGGGCAGGGGUCGAGGCCCCAGGUUGCCAGAGUUCAAGGAGCGUUUUGACAGUGCUCUCAGACAUGGGGUAUUUUGGGUCAUCCUGUGUGGAGCAGAAACCCAAAGUUCCCGAAUUUCUGAUAGAACAGCACCACCUGGCGGAUCCCGGCGUGGAGGGGGCUGGCGAGGGGCGUUCUGUUUUAGCUGCUGCAUCUCUCUCAUUACCAUAGAUGGCAGCUAAUAACGAUGAAUAACUACCUCUGGGAGGAUAUUUCUCAGCAUCCAAUUGACAUGCAAGAGCCUCAAAAUAUCAGAUCUUUGGUAUAUUAAAUCAUACAUCUGAAAUAAAUUAUGGAGAAUGAUAAAUAACAGAUCCUCAUUUGAUCUGAUUGUGAAAUGUAGAAGUUGAAUGUGACCUAAAAAUGAUAGGGAAAAAAUAUUAUCAAAGGAGGUUUAGCUCUGGAAUAUACAUGUAAUUCAUAUUUUGUCUGCUCUUUGGAAUAAAUAAACAGCAAAUGUCUCUGCAUGUUGCAUAUGGAUAGCUAUGUAUACAUGUAUAUUCUAGAGUUAAACCUCCUUUAUUAAUACUUUUAAGUACAAGCCCUGAGGGCUUGGGAAACAGUAGUACACGAGCUGUAAGAAGGAGUGAAUGUGCCAGAGCUCUAUUACUUCAUAAGCACUAAAUUUCCUUCGUUAUUUGCAUGGUUCUGGGACCAAAUAUCACUGUAGACAGAGUAAAUGUAUCUUGGAGUUAUUCUUUUGAUUGCAUCUGGAGCAAGAGACUUGAAGCUGCAAAAAACUCUGCCAAAUAUUUUCCUAAUCUUGUUCAUGUAUGUUUUUUCAUUAUUCUUGUAGGUUUCUUUCUCUGAGUUUUUUUCACAGGUUGCAUUGGAAAGAAUAAUGUGUUGGGAGAACAGUACUUAGAAACAUGCUUAAAAAAUUGAGACAAUUUUUUCCACUGAGCAAGUGAUGUACUGAUGAGGAAAAACAUACAUGGAUGCCAAAGAAUUAUAAUAGCAAUGUGAAACAGUAAAAUGGAGCGCUUUCCAGCCCUGUCUAUCUGCAUACUGGUAUCUAUCUUCUGUGAUGGGAAAAGAAGCUCUAAAAAAGCUUAUUUGGAGCCUUUUUCUUUUAAACUCUCUAGCUGAUGAAAUGUUAUAUCUGUCUGAUAUUCAUAGUUUGCUUUGGGAAUUAACUUGAUCUGUAGAAUUGUGUUAGGGAUAUAAGUAAUCUGUUCUGUUUGUCAUACACUUAAAGGGCAAUCUGGAAUUUCUGGGUUGUUCACUGUGUAAACUUUAAUAACAAAUUCAUUUUCUGGCUGAGGUUUUCUGGAAUAAAUUGAAAAAAAAAAAAAAGAAUAUCUCUCGAAAGUGUGCACAGCACCUACUUUGACAGUUUGUUACAAGUCCCUGGGGAAAAAGAAAUAUUCAGAUGACAUAUCAAAUA